rnacentral:rRNA from 1 species
UACGAACUGUGCGAACGUUAUUCGGAAUCACUGGGCUUAAAGGGUGCGUAGGCGGGCUCGUUAGUCGGGGGUGAAAUCCCACGGCCCAACCGUGGAAGUGCCUCCGAUACUGCGAGUCUAGAGGGGAACAGGGGCAUGCGGAACUUCCGGUGGAGCGGUGAAAUGCGUAGAUAUCGGAAGGAACACCGGUGGCGAAAGCGGCGUGCUGGAUUCCUACUGACGCUGAGGCACGAAAGCCAGGGGAGCAAACGGG